rnacentral:rRNA from 1 species
GAUGAACGCUGGCGGCGUGCCUAAUACAUGCAAGUAGAACGCUGAAGGAGGAGCUUGCUCUUCUGGAUGAGUGGCGAACGGGUGAGUAACGCGUAGGUAACCUGCCUGGUAGCGUGGGAUAACUAUUGGAAACGAUAGCUAAUGCCGCAUGACAACAGUUAUUGCAUGAUAACUGUUGAAAAGUGGCAACUGCUCCACUACCAGAUGGACCUGCGUUGUAUUAGCUAGUUGGUGAGGUAACGGCUCACCAAGGCGACGAUACAUAGCCGACCGGAGAGGGGGAUCGGCCACACUGGGACUGAGACACGCCCCAGAGUCCUACGGGAGGCAGCAGUAGGGAAUCUGCGGCAAUGGACGGAAGUCUGACCGAGCAACGCGGCGUGAGUGAAGAAGGUUGUCGGAUCGUAAAGCUCUGUUGUAAGAGAAGAACGAGUGUGAGAGUGGAAAGUUCACUCUGUGACGGUAACUGACCAGAAAGGGACGGCUAACUACGUG